CCUAGGGGACUAGGCCCUUACCCCCUACCUCCUAGGGGACUAGGCCCUUACCCCCUACCUCCUAGGGGACUAGGCCCUUACCCCCUACCUCCUAGGGGACUAGGCCCUUACCCCCUACUACCAAGGGGACUAGACCCUUAACCCUUACCCCCUACUAGUUAGUUAUAGGGCAGCGUGCUGUAGUUAGUUACAGGGCAACGUGCUGUAGUUAGUUAUAGGGCAACUUGCUGUAGUUAGUUAUAGGGCAACGUGUUGUAGUUAGUUAUAGGGCAAGGUGCUGUAGUUAGUUAUAGGGCAACGUGCUGUAGUUAGUUAAAGGGCAACGUGCUGUAGUUAGUUAUAGGGCAACGUGCUGUAGUUAGUUAUAGGGCAACGUGCUGUAGUUAGUUAUAGGGCAACGUGCUGUAGUUAGUUAUAGAGCAACGUGCUGUAGUUAGUUAUAGGGCAACGUGCUGUAGUUAGUUAUAGGGCAGCUUGCUGUAGUUAGUUAUAGGGCAACGUGCUGUAGUUAGUUAUAGGGCAACGUGCUGUAGUUAGUUAUAGGGCAACGUGCUGUAGUUAGUUAAAGGGCAACGUGCUGUAGUUAGUUAUAGGGCAACGUGCUGUAGUUAGUUACAGGGCAACGUGCUGUAGUUAGUUACAGGGCAACGUGCUGUAGUUAGUUAUAGGGCAACGUGCUGUAGUUAGUUAUAGGGCAGCGUCCUGUAGUUAGUUAUAGGGCAACGUACUGUAGUUAGUUAUAGGGCAGCGUGCUGUAGUUAGUUAUAGGGCGACCCUGCUUCUAAUUCUAGUAGCAGCUAGAUUCCCAGAACUUCAGAUAGCUGGAAACAGAAUGGAAUAAGCAGGAAACCUGGAAUCCU